UAAUUGAGACUCGAUAUAUAUAUAUAUAUAUAAUUGAAUGUACGUGCAAAUGCACGUAACAAUUAUUAUAAUUUAUUUCAAAUCAAUAUAAAUUUGUACAUUAUAUAUAUCCAAAAUUUUACAAUAAAAAUUAUAUUUAUAAAUUAAUGUGUUAUAUUUUAUUAGAAAAUAUUUAUAAUAUCCUACCGUGUUCUUUUAUUUAUAUACAUCGAACAUUUUUAUAUACUUUUUUAUUUUUGAUGAAUCAAAUUUAAAUAUGUGUUUUAAACUAAAAGCAUCAAAAUUUAAUUCACAUUUAAUUUAAAAUUUAAAAUUUAAUUUUGAUCCACUGUAAUAAAAAAGUUAAUUAUUAAUUCAAAUUUGAUAUCUAAAAAUUAAAUUUAAUUUAUAAUUUAAACUCAAAUUUUAAUUUUAACAUAAAAUAGAUUAAUAGAAAUGCUAUUUUUUAACAAAUUGAUCAUAACCGUUUGUUUUAAUUUGAGAUAUUUUUUAACAAAUUGAUUAUAAUCGUUCAUAGGAUUGAAUUUAUAGAUGCAUGCAAAUGAUAUUUUUUUAAUAGAUUGAUUAUAACUCUUCUUAUUUGAGAUAUUUUUUUAACAAAUUGAUCAUAACCAUUUAUAGGGAAUAGAUUUUUAUAUAUAGUAGAAAUUUAAUAGAUUGAUCAUAACCGUUCAUUUUUAUUUAACAUAUUUUUAACAAAUUAAUCAUAAUCAUUCGUAGGAAAUAUUAUUUUAUAUUUAAUAGAUUGAUCAUAACCGUUAAUUUUUAUUUGAGUACGAUCGCCUUCGUACUGAUAAGUUGUUUUCGAUGAUAGAGCUUCGGAAUCGACGAUCCAUACCGUUAAACAUUAUCUUGAGAAUUUAAAAUUUCUAAAAAUCAGAAUUUAUAAUUUUUCGACAUCAUUUACCUUACGAUCAAAAGCUCACAAAAUUGACAAUUUUUAACAGUCGGGUAUAAGAUAUUUGCUAGUUUAACCGUGAAAAAGAAUCAGAAUAUGUUGAAGUUUUGAUAGAAAAUCCUAUUCACUACCUAAAUAAAGAUCAAUAACUCCGACCUUAAAUUGAAGGAUCUGAUCAUCCAUUUUUAGGAUGUCGUUCGAUUUUAACCGUUUAUUUUAUAACCGAUUGAUGGACUUUAUAAUGAUUUCGAAAAAUUAUGAAAGUUAUUUUCUAGAAGUUUCAAAUACUCUAGAUCAUAUUUAAUAGUGUGGAUCAUCGAUUCGAAAAUCCCAACAUCGAAAAUAACUUAUGACUACGAAGGGCUCUAUACUCAUAAGAGUACAGUAGCCCUACUCUAUACAUAUAUAUAUAUAUAUAUAUAUAUAUAUAUAUAUAUAGGCUGGGGCUAUUAUACUCUUAUGAGUAUAGACCCCCUUGUACUCAUAAAUUUUUAACCGUUGAUUGAUGGGAUGUGUGGUUAAGAUGAUGGUGGUCUCCACUUAGAAUGAUAGUGAUCCCCUAGGAUUGAGUGGGUAGUUGGUUGAAUAGUAUGAUCUAAUGGGUGGAAAUGAUUAAUGGAAUAAAUCUAAGGGCCGAAAACUUAUGAGUAUAAGGGAGCCAAUACUCAUAAAAGUAUAGUAGCUGGACUCUAUAUAUAUUAAUAUAUAUAAAUAUAUAUAUAUAUAUAGAGUUCGGCUACUAUACUCUUAUGAGUACGAUCAUCUUCGUACUCAUAAGUUGUUUUCGAUGAUAGAUCUUCUGAAUUGACGAUCCAUACCGUUAAAUAUUAUCUAGAGGAUUUAAAACUUCUAGAACUCAAAUUUCAAAAUUUUUUGACAUCAUUUACCUUAUAAUCAAAAGCUCACAAAAUUGAUAAUUUUUAACGGCCGGUAUGCGAUACUUGCUAGUUUAACGGUGUAAAAGAAUCGGAAUAGGUUGAAUUUUUGAUAGAAAAUUCUAUUCACUACCUAGAUAAAGAUCAAUAACUCUGAUAUUAAAUUGAAGGAUCCGAUCAUCCAUUUUAGGACGUCCUUCGAUUUUGACCGUUCAUUUUAUGCCCGCUUGAUGGACUUUAUUAUGAUUUCGAAAAAUUACGAAAUUUACUUUCUAGAAGUUUCAAAUACUCUAGAUCAUGUUUAACGGUUUAACGGUGUGGAUCAUCGAUUUGAAAACCCUAACAUUGAAAACAACUUAUGAGUACAAAGAGCUCUAUACUCAUAAUAGUAUAGUAGCCCUACUCUAUAUAUAUAUAUAGAGUAAGUCUCCUGUACUUUCGAAAGUACGGAAACCUCCGUGCUUGUAAGUUGUUUUCGAUGAUAGAAAAUCCGAUUCAACGAUCGGCUCCGUUAAGUAUAAUCUACCCUAUUGAAACUAUUUAGAACCAAAUUUUAUAAUUUUUUGACAUCAUUUAUCAAGCGAUCAAAAGGUCUCAAAAAUGACUAUUUUAAUGGCAGAUGUGGCACGUUUUUAAGUUCAACGGUGUAUAAGUAUCCAAAUUAGAUGAAAAUUUAAUAGAAAAUUCUACUUAACAUCAAUAGUAAGACCAAUACUUCCGAUUUGAAAUUUGAGUCAUUUAUCACUGAUUUUUAGGAGAUUUUCAUUUUCAGCCGUUCAUUUUGAGGCUACUCGUUUACUAGACAAACGAAAUCAAAAAAUUAUGAAAUUUGGUUUCUAGGUAGUUCCAACAGCGUAGAUCAUGUCUAACAGAACCGAUCGCCGAAUCAAAUGUCCCAUUAUUGAAAACGACUUCCAAGUACGGAGGCUCCCGUACUUUCGAAAGCAUAGGAGCCUAGCUCUAUAUAUAUAUAUAUAUAUAUAGAAUUAGGCUACUAUACUAUCUAUAGUACCGGAGCUCCGGUACUAUAGUCUUGUUUUCGAUUUUAGGGUGUUCAAAUUAAUAAUCCACACCGUUAAAUAUGAUCUAGGGUAUAUGAAGUUCUUAAUAAUAAAAUUUUAGUUUUUUUCAAUAUCGUUUAUGUAACAUAUUGAAACUCGCUAGAGAAUAUUGGACUUUAGCCAAAUUGACUAAAGUGUCCGAAAAAAAUAGUUAGGCAAGUUCAAUUUAAUAUUCCAACAAGGUUGGAAGAGUUAAAAAUGAAGUCUAAAAUGGUUAGGAAGGUUUUAGUAUUGAUCGGCGCGAAGUAGAGUCGAAAAGGAGCUAAAACUGCAGUCUGGGCAAAGUGUAUCGGUACAAGAUUGAUGUUGUACCGAUACAACAAUUACAGAUCGAGAGAAGCUGCUCUCGG
rnacentral:lncRNA from 1 species